rnacentral:lncRNA from 1 species
ACUAAGCAGUCCUGGUCAGGACAUGGCCCAGUCCAUCCCGACCCAUCCUUGUCUCUGUGCCUAGGCACUGUGUCUAGUCUUCUUCCAGAGGUAAGUUCCUCUCCUGUCUGUCACCAAGGCUUCAACUCCCCCCCCACCCCCCAGCCUGGAAUUCCUGGGGGGAAAUCUUACUUCUUUAGAGUUACAAAAUAUCUCUUUAGACUAUUUUCCCUGCCAGAGUGCUCAUAUUUCUUUCAGUUACUGACAGAUUCCCUAAUGCUGACUCAGGAAGUUCAGAGUCUCCCACCGUGUAUUAACUGUUUCUAUUGAGGGCAGGGAGGGGGAGGGGGUUCCCUUGGAUCCCCAGGAUGAACCUGACAGGCAGUAGGGCCAUUGAGGAUCAGUCAGACCCCAGGAGGGCAGACUGGUGCUUGAGGGCUUUUCAAGGCUUGUGGGGUGAGGGAGCUGGCCUCAUGGGGGCCAGGGACUGUGUGAGGGUUUGUGUCAGGAGGGCCUGUUUCUCCAGAAUGCUCACCGCGGUCUCAGGUACCGGCUCUUGAUGAGCCCAUGCCGGUUUGAUCUGGAG